ACCUGGCUGGCUCAAUUAGUAGAGCAUAUGACUCUUGAUCUUGAGGUUGUGAGUUCAAGCCCCACACUGGGUA
rnacentral:tRNA from 1 species